AAAUACCCGUUGAGAGAAAUAGUAAGUUUAAUAAUGUGCAAACAGAAAGGACCAUCUUGGCUGAAAAUGGUUCCCAUUAUAAAUCUGAAUGACAUUCUUGAGGGUUAAUGGUGAAAAGCUAUUACGUUGCGAGCGUUAAUCGUUGAGGAGAGCUUUGCUCUCGAAAAAAGGUGGUACCACGAGAAAUAAAUUAAACUCGUCCUUAUU
rnacentral:ncRNA from 1 species